ensembl:lncRNA novel transcript
UUUGGCUGGGCCUUUGUCUCUCGCUCCCACCAGAGCUUGGAAUCCGUCUCUGCUCUUCUGCAUUCUCCACCUCGGGAGCCCCUGGGGACUCUGUGACGGCCUCUGUUGCCCUGUGAUCUGCAGGUCCGGAGAGACGCACAGCUAAGAUGUCAGGACAUCCUGGAAGCUGGGAAAGGUAAAUCUUGCUACUGCUCACUCUUUGGGUGCACGCUGCUUUUAAGAGCUGUAACACUCACCGUGAAGAUCUGCAGCUUCACUCCUGAAGCCAGCGACACCACGAGCCCACCAGAAGGAAGAAACUCCGAACACAUCUGAACAUCAGAAGGGACAGACUCCAGACGCGCCACCUUAAGAGCUGUAACACUCACUGCGAGGGUCCGCGGCUUCAUUCUUGAAGUCAGUGAGACCAAGAACCCACCAAUUCCGGACAAACCAGUACCUGUGUCUUCCCUACAGGUCUUGCCAUCUCUAAGCUGGACCUGGUGACCUUUUUGGAGGGAAAGAAAGAGCCCUGGACUGUGAAGAGUGAGGAGACCAUAGCUGCACAGCCAGUCCAGAUGUAUAAUCUCAUCCCUGAACAUUUCUGAUGGUGUGAUUAUGACAUGUGACUUUAUCUGGCAACAGAGUGAGUUGUUGCUCCCGCCUGAGCCCAGCCCCCAGAAAGGAUUGUGACAUAUCGUUGGACCCAGAAUUGAGGUGCAGUUUUGACACACUUCUGUCUAGCAGCUGAGUAUUGUGAUCUUCAGAACUGGCCCAGCCUACAAAUAGGAUUGUGCCACACUGCUGGACCCAGCACCUAGAUGAUGUAACUAUUCUCCUGCCUUGGUGCUACUCAAAAAAGACAUUAACAUAUCUCAGAGCCUUGCACCCAGGUAAUGUGAGUCUCCUCUCCUGCCUUGCUGCUGCACACAGAAGCGGGUUAUGUACAGGAUUGUUAAUCUCAUUUGGACCUUCCUGCACCUAUGAUUGUGACACAUGCCUCUGUGUAGAACCCAAGUGAGUUUUCUCUCCUGUUUGGAUUUAACCCACAGAUGGAAUCGUGACAUAUCGCUGCACCAGAAA